rnacentral:tRNA from 1 species
GUCAGAUUAACUCAGCUGGGAGAGUGCCGUUCUUACAAAUCGGAAGUCGCAGGUUCAAGCCCUGCAUCUGACA